rnacentral:lncRNA from 1 species
AGACUCCGUCUCAAAAAAAAAAAAAAGAAAAAAGAAAAACUACUUAGAUCUCAGGUCCAUGCAAUAUGCUUCAACCCAACCAUUUCUGGAGAACCCUACCUGGGCACAUCAGCCACUUGUGCUGUCCUGAGGAAUAGGGGUGGUUGUCAGGGCAGGAUUUGGGCACACCUGAGUUUCUGGUCAUGCUAUGCAACAUGCAACACCAAAUCUGAUUCACGACAACAAAUAUAAGAUUCGAGUCUCACCAAGUUUACAUUAUAGAGCGGGAUAUAUUCUUCUUGGUCCUCCUGCUUGGUUGCCAAGGCACAAGAUCAUGUUUUAAAAGUCACAGGCUCUUCCACGGGCUCCCCAGAAGGACCACCGUUUGUCUCUUCACUACCUGUGCAAAGCCUAAGGCUCUAUUUAACAUGCUUUUUCAACCCUGGAGAAAAUGUUUAAAAGAUGAGCAACUAAUGAUCCACAGAGUUCUGAUGAUGUUUUAUCUACAUUUUUUCCUUACAGACACAUUCCCAAGGAAUCCACUGGGUGAUCAACACUAGAACUUAAAUAUUGGGGAAAGGUUAGGAGGCUCUUUAAUUCCAAUUAAAAGAUCAGUAAAUUCCAAGUAGAAGACAACAGUGGAAAUCAGUUGGUAGAAAAUGUAUUACCUGUAAGAAAACACUUAAUGAAAGAGUCCUCUAGAAAAAAAAAAAAUACUAAUAAAACAGGUCAACGACUGUGAACAUAGAAAAGUUCUGUGUAAUAAAGCAUCCUGUUUUAUUUGCCUGGACAGUUUCUUUCUCUGGAGACACCUCUUCCCUAGUCUAUGUGGACCUGAGGGGCUAUUACAGGGUACUUCCUCCUUCCUCCUCCUUCUCGCCAACCACCACAAGCAUGGGCUUGAAACCCAGUCUGAUCAAUCUGAAUUCCCACGCACCCCCCCAAACCAUAGCAGUGAUUUCUUCAGAGAUGAUCAUGUGACUUGGAUCAGACCAGUUAGAUUCUUUGCUAGGACUUUUCUGGUAGAGCUUGUAAGAAAUAAUUCUUGCCUUUUGGGUCAUAAUACUGGGAGGGAGUAAGAUUGUAAGAUCCAGCACCCAUCUUCCUUACCUAAGAAGGGAAAAGCUAGUCUGUUAUGGGAAAGAAAAGAAUGAAAUCAAGAGAGAAAAGAAGCAAAGCUAAGAAACUGCAUCAAAGAAGUUCUGUUGACAGUUAUUGGUCACAUAGAUACAACUGAGCUCAAAUCCAGAGCUAUCCCUGGACUUCUCAGUUAAAUGGGCCAAUAAAUUCCCCUGCCUAAGCCAAUUUGACUCCGGUCCCCCCACCACCCCCACCAUAACUUAAAGGCUACUGACUAAUACAAGGGCCUUUUCUGCUACUUGCAAAGAUAAAUUUAUGAGGACAAGAAAGAUCCCACAUCCAGGAAUUUUCUGACUGAAAUGUUCUAUUGAAAUAACAAUAAACCACCUUUUUGAAGACGUUCCAUGCAAUUCACCUAAAUAUCUUACUGUCAUGCAUUAACCUUCACUAAUGGGCUCAGGAGUGAGCUUUGAUGCUGCCUUAAAAUACAGAAAAAAAUGAAAAGGGAUUCUACAGGAUCAUCAGACGUCUUCUGAAAGGAAAUUGCAAAGACAAGGUGUUCCAGAACGUCUCCUCAACAAUCUUCCAGUAUCACCUUCUCUCUGCUUCCAACCCUGCCUUCCGAAAUGCACUGAUUAAAGAAGGAAAGGAGUUAGCACUGACACCCGCACUAUGCCAGAGACUGCUGGUGUUUGGCACACGUCAUCUGAUUUUCCUGACAAACCUAUAAGAAUUAUCCCCAUUUUACAAAUGAGGACACCAAUACUCAUAUAGGAUAAGUGACUUGCCCAAGGCUACAUAGCUAGUACAUGCCAGAUCUAAAAAUUAAAACCUAUAUCUGUAUGAAUCCAAAUCUCUUGCUCUUUUCAGUUCAGGAAGCUGGAAUACCCACCACCAGUACUAUAUAUCUCCAAGGAGACAAUAAACGUGGUGAAGGGUGUAGAGGGAAAGCUUCAAUUCAGUUAAACCAUCAUUUAUCAAGUAUGCCAGUUGCUGUGAGGAAAGACACAUGUAUAAUACAUGUAAUAAUCUAUUUCAGAUGUGUAACAUUCUAUAUAAGAAUAUAAUUGGUCUGAUCUGAAUCACACGGUCAUCCCUAAGCAAAUUACUGCUGUGGAUUAGAAUUCUAAUUGACUAGAGCUUGCAGUAUUGUAGGGGAAACAGACUAUUACACAAACGAUUGCGUUUCAAGUACGAAUGAGGUUACAGUGGAAAGUCACAUGAGACCCUAAAGAGGGAAAAACAGAUUCCAACUGGGUAUGGCAGAGGAAUGCUUUAUGGAGGAGGAAUUAACCUAAGCUUAAGAGUGAGAUUUCAACAGAUAGAAAGUUUGAGAUAGGGAGGCCUUCUCCUUUGAAUAAAACAUUACAUAAAGUUGGCUAGCUGUACUCUUUUACUAUUUGGAUGGUACAGGGAACUAAAAGGGGUAAGACAAUGUAUUGAUUAGAAUGGGCUAGUUUAUGCUAUAGUAGAAAAGAACCCCAAAAAUCUCAGCUCAAGACAAUAGCACAUGUCUGACUUGACUAAAUGCUCACCACAGUGGGCUGUGAAGUUUGCUUCAUGUCUCUUUCACUCUAGGAUGCAGGAUGAUGAAGCAGCCUCUAUCAGGAACAUUGCUGGCCACUAUGACAGAAGAUAAUGGGAGGGAAGACAUUUAGGAAAGCUGAUUAUCUGGAAGCCCCUUUCUCUUAGUCCACUUGGAAUUCCCAGCAGGGACUGAAACUUCCAAGACUUUCAUCACUGCAACAGGAAUGCUGGCUGCCUCACGUGAUGACCGUGUUUUUUCUGGGUGCUCUGGCUGGUUAUUCACCUGUUGGCUCUCAGGCCUGUGUGCACCAUCUGCGUUCUACUCUGUAUCACAGCGCACUGGACACCUGGAAACUACAAUCCCACACUCCCUUCCCAGCUAAAUUCCAGUCAGGUUCAGCCAAUGGGAGGCGCUGGGGGAAACUAAAGAGCAGGAAGAAGGCAGAAGCCAUUGUUCAUUCUAUCUCUUUCUCUCUCUCCCUACCCCUCCUCUAGUUUCAGCAGCCCUCCAUCAAUGGCUCUGAGUAGCUAAGCCUGAAAUCCACUCCAGAGCAGGAGCCUCAGCAGCCUCCUGCUUCUCAAUCACUCAGUUUCUCCUUUUACUUCUUAGCCCUGGGAUGCUAGUGGUUUCCUGCAGUUACAACUCUUUCCAUAACCUUGCCUUCCCCUGACUGUUUUCCCAGCCCUUCCUUCACCCUUGCUACCGACUCUUGAAAUGCACAGAGGUGUUUUCUCUUCCUGUUUCAAACCUCACUAUUGGAAUACUCCCACAUUUCUGCCUAUAUUCAGUUGUAUAAAUAACAUCUGCUCAUAAAAGCUGGUUGCAUCUGCAAAGCAUAUCUUGAACCCCUGCCAUUCUUACUUAAACUCCAGGGACCUUCUUUUUCAAAUUCAAGUUAGCUGCUACUUCCUCAAAAUUUUUUUAAGGUAGUGUUUCCCAAUUUGCCUUACGAUACAAGUUGUUUGGGGGCACUUGUUUAAAAACACGGUUUCCCAAUCCCUCCCUAAACCUGAUGUAUCAAAUCACUUGGGGAGUAGCUUGGAAAUAUGUAUUUUUUUUUUUUUUUAGCUAUGGAGGUUGGGUGGGGGGGGUCUCACUAUGUUGCCCAAGCUAAUCUUGAACUCCUGGCCUCAAUCAAUCCACCCCCUUCAGCCCCCGAAACUAGCUGAGAUUAUAGUGCAAGCCACUACAUCAGGCUGAAAAUAUGUAGCUUUGACAAACACCCCAGGUGAUUCUAACCCUCAAGCAAGCUUGAGAAUCACUUGUGAGGAAUACGUUUUCUGAGGCCAAGUUUAUUCCUAUGCCCAUUAAUCGUUGAGACCCGCUGCCCCGUACAAUCAUCUUGGCUACAAUGGACAAUCCAAUCAGUUAUCUCCCCCUAUACAGAUAAAAAGCAAUGAUCACUGGCAGCUUAGUUUUUAAAGGCAAAAUUAAUCUGCCAAAAUGGCAUAAGUAGCAAUAAAAUUAUCUAUAAUUUUAAAACUGGGACUAUGUAAUUGAAAUGAAUAGGUUUAGGAAAUGGAAAGGCUUGGAUUUAAAUACCAAUGACAUCACUUAGUAACUAUAUGACAUGCAGCAAGCUGUUUAACCUCUUAGAGCUUCAGUCUUCUAUAAAACGAGAAUAAUAUCAUCUACUUCAAAGCUGUUCUGAGGAUUAAGUAAGAAUAUGUGUAAGUCACCUAGCUUGGUCCCUGGCCUGUAAAAGACAUCCAGUAAAUACAUGUUCCCUUCCUAACCGAUAAGAAGAAUGCUGGAUUUAUGGUAUAUUUGUAUUGUAUCAACCUGGUUGAACUGGAACUACAGUUCCCAAAAUGCCUCUUCCUGCAUAAUUCUGAGUUAGCAUGGAACACCAAAGACAGUUUGCUGGAGAGAGAUUCCAUCAAGCUGUCUUUGGAAGGAAAGCAGCACUAUGUUGUCUAUACAUAAUGAACAAGUAAAUAUAAAUAAACAGAUUGUGGUUUGAAAGGAUGUGAUCUGAUAGAAAUCAAAUGGGGAAAGGGAAGCACUAAAUAGCUAGCUGGCUUCCUUAGACAGGAUGACCUAGGAAGUCCUCUCUGAGGAAGUAGCAUUUAACCCCUCAUCCUGAUGCCUCAAGGAUAAGCUGACAGCCAAGCUAACAGCUGGAAGCAGAACUACCCAGGCAGAAAGAACUGCCAAUGUAAAGGCUUCAAGUAUGCCCUGGGCAUCUGGAGUAAAAUAGAGGAAGGAAAGAAGGAAUGGUGGAGAUUCAGAUAUGCAUGACCUUAAUAGGCUAUGGUUUUUUAAAAAAUGUGGGGAUUUUAUUUUAAGUGUAACAACCCCACUGAGGAGUCGGGGGUAUAAGUGGUGGGAUGUUAUAUAAUCCUUUUAAUGUUUUUAAUUUCAAAGAUCAUUUGUUUCACAUCUUUUAGAUUAUCAAAUAUUUUUUAAGUCAGACAAUAUCAGGUGUUGGAGACUAUAGGGAAAUGAGAACACUCAGACUGCUGGCGAAAAUGAGCUGUCAUGGGAUGCCCUCUCUCACCGCUCCUAUUCAACAUAGUGUUGGAAGUUCUGGCCAGGGCAAUCAGGCAGGAGAAGGA